AUUCCAGCUCCAAGAACAUAUGUUGAAGUUGUCGCGGUUAAAAAGUUUGUAGUUGGCUUUCUGCCAAGGACGACCGGUCCGCCCUCUGGGUGAGCAUCUGGCUCGGCCUGGGCAUCCUCUUGGAGAACGUAGCUGCACUUGACUGUUGGGCGGUAUCCAGGACUUUAACUUAAGGCAAUUAGAGUGUUUCAAGCAGGCAUACGCCUUGAAUACAUUAGCAUGGAAUAAUAAGAUAGGACCUCGGCUCUAUUUUGUUGGUUUCUAGAGCUGAGGUAAUGCUUAGUAGGGAUAGUUGCGGGCAUUCGUAUUUGACUGUCAGAGGUGAAAUUCUUGGACUUGCUAAAGGCAGACUAUUGCGAAAGCAUUUGCCAAAGAUGUCUUCAUUA
rnacentral:rRNA from 1 species